rnacentral:rRNA from 1 species
UACAGAGGGUGCGAGCGUUGUUCGGAAUUAUUGGGCGUAAAGGGCGCGUAGGCGGUGCGGUAAGUCACCUGUGAAAUCUCCUGGCUCAACUGGGAGCUUGCAGGCGAAACUGCCGUGCUGGAGUGUGGGAGAGGUGCGUGGAAUUCCUGGUGUAGCGGUGAAAUGCGUAGAUAUCAGGAGGAACACCUGUGGUGUAGACGGCUUUCUGGACCAUAGCUGACGCUGAGACACGAAAGCGUGGGUAGCAAACAGG